rnacentral:rRNA from 1 species
AUUGAACGCUGGCGGCAGGCCUAACACAUGCAAGUCGAACGGUAGCACAGAGAGCUUGCUCUCGGGUGACGAGUGGCGGACGGGUGAGUAAUGUCUGGGAAACUGCCUGAUGGAGGGGGAUAACUACUGGAAACGGUAGCUAAUACCGCAUAACGUCGCAAGACCAAAGAGGGGGACCUUCGGGCCUCUUGCCAUCAGAUGUGCCCAGAUGGGAUUAGCGAGUAGGUGGGGUAACGGCUCACCUAGGCGACGAUCCCUAGCUGGUCUGAGAGGAUGACCGUCCACACUGAGACGGAGACACGGUCCAUACGCCUAAGGGAGGCAGCAGUGGUGAAUAUUGCGCAAUGGGCGCAAGCCUGAUGCAGCCAUGCCGCGUGUAUGAAGAAGGCCGUCGGGAUGUAAAGUACUUUCAGCGGGGAGGAAGGGAGUAAAGUUAAUACCUUUACUCAUUGACGUUACCCGCAGAAGAAGCACCGGCUAACUCCGUGCCAGCAGCCGCAGUAA